rnacentral:rRNA from 1 species
GGACUACCAGGGUUUCUAAUCCUGUUUGAUCCCCUUGCUUUCGCGCCUCAGCGUCAGGUCUAAGCUAGAAAACCGCCUUCGCCACCGGUGUUCUUCCACAUAUCUACGCAUUUCACCGCUACUUGUGGAAUUCCGUUUUCUCCGCCUAUCCUCUAGACUCACAGUUUCAAAUGCUGUUCCGAGGUUGAGCCCCGGGAUUUCACAUCUGACUUACAAGUCCGCCUACGCGCCCUUUACGCCCAAUAAAUCCGAUUAAUGCUUGCACCCUCCGUAUUACCGCGGCUGCUGGCAC